GGACAAUGGGCGAAAGCCUGAUCCAGCCAUUCCGCGUGAGUGAAGAAGGCCUUCGGGUUGUAAAGCUCUUUCGCAAGAGAAGAAAGAUUACGCUCUAACAUAGCGUGAUUAUGACGGUACCUUGAUAAGAAGCACCGGCUAACUACGUGCCAGCAGCCGCGGUAAUACGUAGGGUGCGAGCGUUAAUCGGAAUUACUGGGCGUAAAGCGUGCGCAGGCUGUUUUGUAAGUCAGAUGUGAAAUCCCCGAGCUCACUUGGGAACUGCGUUUGAACUACAGACUAGAAUAUGUCAGAGGGGGGUAGAAUUCCACGUGUAGCAGUGAAAUGCGUAGAGAUGUGGAGGAAUAUCAAUGGCGAAGGCAGCCCCCUGGGAUAAUAUUGACGCUCAUGCACGAAAGCGUGGGGAGCAAACAGGAUUAGAUACCCUGGUAGUCCACGCCCUAAACGAUGUCAACUAGUUGUUGGGUGGAGUAAAAUCCAUGAGUAACGCAGCUAACGCGUGAAGUAGACCGCCUGGGGAGUACGAUCGCAAGAUUAAA
rnacentral:rRNA from 1 species